rnacentral:rRNA from 1 species
CCUAACACAUGCAAGUCGAACGGUAACAGGAAGAAGCUUGCUUCUUUGCUGACGAGUGGCGGACGGGUGAGUAAUGUCUGGGAAACUGCCUGAUGGAGGGGGAUAACUACUGGAAACGGUAGCUAAUACCGCAUAACGUCGCAAAACCAAAGAGGGGGACCUUCGGGCCUCUUGCCAUCGGAUGUGCCCAGAUGGGAUUAGCUAGUAGGUGGGGUAACGGCUCACCUAGGCGACGAUCCCUAGCUGGUCUGAGAGGAUGACCAGCCACACUGGAACUGAGACACGGUCCAGACUCCUACGGGAGGCAGCAGUGGGGAAUAUUGCACAAUGGGCGCAGGCCUGAUGCAGCCAUGCCGCGUGUAUGAAGAAGGCCU